CGUGCACCUACUUGUUUAGACGAACAAAUCCUUUGAAAAGUCUCUACCAGAGCAUAACCCCCAAGUUUUUGUCCUCUGAAUUUUCAAUGGAGAGAUCGGGAUAUGGCAGGGAUGGAAUAUACAGGUCGCUAAGACCUACUCUUAUCGUCCCUAAAGAUCCUAAUCUCUCAAUGGUUUCAUUUCUUUUUAGAAAUUCCAAUUCUUAUCCUCACAAACCAGCUCUUAUUGAUGCAGAUUUAUCAAUAACCUUAUCUUUUGCACAGCUCAAAUCCAUUGUUGUCAAGGUCUCACAUGGCUUACGCCAUUUGGUUAUCUCUAAAAAUGAUGUUGUUCUCAUCUUUGCUCCAAAUUCUUACCAGUACCUUAUUUGUUUCUUGGCCAUCACUGCAAUUGGUGCUAUAGCUACAACUGCAAAUCCUCUUUACACAACCACAGAACUCUCAAAACAGAUAAAAGAUUCUAAGCCCAAGUUGGUCAUAACUGUGCCUGAGUUGUGGAACAAAGUUAAAGAUUUCAAUUUACCAGCUGUGUUUUUAGGUUCUAAGGAGUCUUUAUCUAUAGAGCCCAAUUCAAGAAUAAAAAGUUUUCAUCAUCUGGUUGAGCUAGGAGGGUCUAAUUCUGAAUUCCCUGAGAAUAAAGUGAAGCAAACUGAUACAGCUGCGUUGUUAUAUUCUUCAGGCACAACAGGGACUAGUAAAGGAGUGAUUUUGACGCAUGGGAAUUUCAUUGCGGCUUCUCUAAUGGUCACUAUGGAUCAAGAAAUGGCAGGUGAAAUGCACCAUGUUUUCUUGUGUGUCUUGCCUAUGUUUCAUGUGUUUGGAUUGUCUGUGAUCACAUAUUCGCAGCUGCAAAAGGGCAACGCGAUAGUGUCAAUGGCGAAGUUCGAUUUCGAGAUGGUUUUGAAGAAUGUGGAGAAGUACAGAGUGACCCAUUUGUGGAUUGUUCCUCCAGUAAUACUUGCUUUGGCUAAACAGAGCUCCGUUAAGAAGUACGAUCUCUCAUCACUGCAGCAUGUUGGUUCUGGUGCGGCUCCUUUGGGGAAAGAAUUGAUGGAGGAAUGUGCCAAGAGGAUUCCUCAUGCUGCAGUUGCUCAGGGUUAUGGCAUGACAGAGACCACUGGUAUUGUUUCAGUGGAAAAUCCAAGAAUAGGUAUUCGACAUUCUGGUUCAGCUGGAAUACUUGCUCCGGGAGUUGAAGCCCAAAUAAUCAGUGUAGAUACGUUAAAACCUCUCCCUCCAAAUCAAUUGGGAGAAAUAUGGGUUCGGGGACCCAAUAUGAUGCAAGGAUAUCUCAACAAUCCCCAGGCAACUAAGCAGACCAUAGAUAAAAAGGGUUGGGUACAUACUGGAGAUCUAGGAUACUUUAACGAGGAUGGACAGCUAUAUGUUGUUGACCGUAUUAAAGAGCUAAUCAAGUACAAAGGAUUCCAGGUAACUUCUAAGAAAAAGAAAUUUAAGAUUGCAUGCAAAAUUGUUUACAACAGGUAAAUUCUAUGAUAACAUCUUUCACAAAUUUUGUUAAUUUGGCACCAAGUCACUACUAAAUUAUGAUUGAAUUUGUUUAUUGUCCAAGGUUGCACCAGCUGAACUUGAAGGGCUGCUUGUUUCUCACCCUGAAAUAUUAGAUGCUGUUGUUAUCCCGUAAGUCACACACAAUUGUGCUACUUGCGUCAGCUAGAACAUAAGAACAUAAGAAAUGAUUACCUUUUAACCCCUCACACAUUACACACCAUUGAUAAUAGUCUCUUGCACCUUGUAGCUUUCCCGAUGCUGAAGCUGGUGAGGUCCCAGUUGCUUACAUUGUGCGCUCACCCAACAGUUCACUGACCGAAGAAGAUGUUUUGAAAUUUAUUGCUGAUCAGGUAUUUGACAUGUGGGAACCAUCAUGGUUUCACAAGGGCCUGACUUCACUUGAGUUAGUUGAGUUCAUUCACGUUUGGAUCCUUCCCCUCUUCUUUUUUCUUUUCAACUGCCUUUUCUGUCUGCGCUCUCAUUUUCCAGAAGAGCCUUUUGCAUUUGCAAUAGCUUCUAGGUGUUUGCAGAAAAAUUUAAGGCUUGAUUGAUCUUUUUCUGGAGAGGACUGGCCAUGGUAUUGGAUAACUUAAAAUUCGGUAGUGUGAUAACAUGAGGGAAAGAGGGAGGCCUAAGCUAACGUGGAUGGAAGUAGUAUCACAGGAUUUACAAGUUUUGAGUAUUGAGCUGAACUCGGUGUCUAGCAGAGCUGAAUGGUGAAAAGGAUCCGUAUAGCUGACUCCAACUAGUUUGGGAUUAAGAUUU
rnacentral:misc_RNA from 1 species